rnacentral:rRNA from 1 species
GACGAACCGUGCGAACGUUAUUCGGAAUCACUGGGCUUAAAGGGCGCGUAGGCGGGUCAUCAAGUCCGGGGUGAAAUCCCACGGCCCAACCGUGGAAGUGCCUUGGAUACUGGAGACCUCGAGGGGGAUAGGGGCGUGCGGAACUCAGGGUGGAGCGGUGAAAUGCGUAGAUAUCGGGAAGAACACCCGUGGCGAAGGCGGCUCUCUGGGACGGUACUGACGCUGAGACGCGAAAGCGUGGGGAGCGAACAGG